UACAGAGGGGGCAAGCGUUGUUCGGAAUUACUGGGCGUAAAGGGCGCGUAGGCGGCCCGCUAAGUCGAACGUGAAAUCCCUGGGCUCAACCCAGGAACUGCGUCCGAUACUGGCAGGCUUGAAUCCGGGAGAGGGAUGCGGAAUUCCAGGUGUAGCGGUGAAAUGCGUAGAUAUCUGGAGGAACACCGGUGGCGAAGGCGGCAUCCUGGACCGGCAUUGACGCUGAGGAGCGAAAGCCAGGGGAGCAAACGGG
rnacentral:rRNA from 1 species